GAAGUAAAAGUCGUAACAAGGUCUCCGUUGGUGAACCAGCGGAGGGAUCAUUACCGAGUUAUACAACUCCCAAACCCACUGUGAACCUUACCUCAGUUGCCUCGGCGGGAACGCCCCGGCCGCCUGCCCCCGCGCCGGCGCCGGACCCAGGCGCCCGCCGCAGGGACCCCAAACUCUCUUGCAUUACGCCCAGCGGGCGGAAUUUCUUCUCUGAGUUGCACAAGCAAAAACAAAUGAAUCAAAACUUUCAACAACGGAUCUCUUGGUUCUGGCAUCGAUGAAGAACGCAGCGAAAUGCGAUAAGUAAUGUGAAUUGCAGAAUUCAGUGAAUCAUCGAAUCUUUGAACGCACAUUGCGCCCGCCAGCAUUCUGGCGGGCAUGCCUGUUCGAGCGUCAUUUCAACCCUCGAGCCCCCCCGGGGGCCUCGGUGUUGGGGGACGGCACACCAGCCGCCCCCGAAAUGCAGUGGCGACCCCGCCGCAGCCUCCCCUGCGUAGUAGCACACACCUCGCACCGGAGCGCGGAGGCGGUCACGCCGUAAAACGCCCAACUUUCUUAGAGUUGACCUCGGAUCAGGUAGGAAUACCC
rnacentral:rRNA from 1 species